AUUCCUGUAAUGGCUGCUUUCGGUCCGGUAAGGUACAAACUCCGCUCCCGGGGAUUCCAGGAUUGAUUCUCCUAGUGUACUUGCACAACCCAACAAAUUUGCACCCUCCCAGGGCGAAGGAAUUCCAGAUCUUUAUGUUAGAUCUUGGGAUGAAUUUGCUUCUCGGCUUGGUUUCAUUUAGCAAUCUGUGUGUGAGAACUAACUUUAAAUCUAGUAGUCUCUUUUUGAAGGAACUGUUAGGGAGUGUUUUCUGUACUCGUUACCAAUUUCUGUCCUUGCUGUUCGUUUCUCACUGACUCUAGCUUCCUCUUUAAAAUAGGCUGUGUCACGAGUAACCUCUUAGCCUCAGCAUCCGGAAGUUCCAAAGAGAAUAUUUCACGUUGGGUAGAAUUACUUAUACCCUUGUUUCGGUAAGUCUUAUUAAUUCCUUACAACUUCACAGAGUCACGUGUUGUGUUGAAUUUUCUAGAUAAGAGACAUGCUAAUAAAAUGUGACUUUUACCUGUUAGGGUAUUUUAUUUGGCAAGUAUCUUAUGCAUUUUUCCCUCUCUUUUCUAAUGAUAACCUAAAAUGACUGUCUUUAGUUUUGUCAUCUUAAACUGACAUCUGAAAUGAUUCACAAAUUCCAGUCUAAAAGAUUGUUUUAUAUUAAUAUUGUCAUUC
rnacentral:lncRNA from 1 species